GAUGAACGCUGGCGGCGUACCUAAUACAUGCAAGUCGAACGAAGAUCUAGCUUGCUAGAUCUUAGUGGCGAACGGGUGAGUAAUACAUAAAUAAUCUGCCCAUAUGACUGGGAUAACUAUUGGAAACGAUAGCUAAUACCGGAUAGGUUGAUUGGAGGCAUCUCUGAUUAAUUAAAGUAGGAUUUCUACACAAAUGGAUGAGUUUAUGGCGCAUUAGUUAGUUGGUGGGGUAACGGCCUACCAAGACGAUGAUGCGUAGCCGACCUGAGAGGGUGAACGGCCACAGUGGGACUGAGACACGGCCCAGACUCCUACGGGAGGCAGCAGUAGGGAAUUUUCGGCAAUGGGCGCAAGCCUGACCGAGCAACGCCGCGUGAGUGAUUAAGGCCUUCGGGUUGUAAAGCUCUGUUGUAAGGGAAGAACAUUCAGGAUAGGAAAUGAUCUUGAACUGACGGUACCUUACCAGAAAGCCACGGCUAACUACGUGCCAGCAGCCGCCGUAA
rnacentral:rRNA from 1 species